UACGAAGGGGGCUAGCGUUGCUCGGAAUCACUGGGCGUAAAGGGUGCGUAGGCGGGUCUUUAAGUCAGGGGUGAAAUCCUGGAGCUCAACUCCAGAACUGCCUUUGAUACUGAAGAUCUUGAGUUCGGGAGAGGUGAGUGGAACUGCGAGUGUAGAGGUGAAAUUCGUAGAUAUUCGCAAGAACACCAGUGGCGAAGGCGCUCACUGGCCCGAUACUGACGCUGAGGCACGA
rnacentral:rRNA from 1 species